AAUGGAUAUUAAAAAUUAUUAACAAACCAGAUGGGUGGUGUUGCAUAAGUCAAAUACAGAGAGUUAUUAACAUCGUCUCUUCACGGCUCACCUACGACGAUUCUCAAGACUGAAUUAAAUCCUUACGUUUCUCCUGUCUCUAUUUUUUUCUUCUUAUUCUAUAUCCGAUUUUUGCAUCCUAAUCCUGUGAUUGAUAUUGGUUUGGUGGCAAACACGAUGGAUUCGAUUAAGGACACGCUAGGGAAAUUAGGGAAGUUGGCUGCCGACGCUACCAAAAAGGCCGAGGAUUAGAUAAAUGAUCAGAUGAAUUGGGAAUUGGGAAUUCGUUUGACAGCACUCGUUCAUAAUGUUAGCGGACUGUCCACUUCGCAAUAUAUCAAUAAUCAAACAAAUAGUUGUACCUUCUGGUCUAUGAGCAGCAGUUCGAACCCCAUAAGUCAAGGAAGUAAUGAAGCUGAAAGAGGAGAAGUUGCAGGUGCCAUAUUUUGUAAUUCAAUGAGCUUGAAGAGGACGACAUGCCUAUUGGUGAUAGAAUCAUACACAUGGGGCUAAAAGGAUCGCAACAUAGCCUAUCACCUUUACAUGCAGAGUUGGACACACUUGUUUGGGCUAUGAGAUGCUUAUUGGCCUUAGAAUUGGAUAAAGCUCUUUUUGCUAUGGAUUGCUCAGACCUCCUAUUGAUGACGUCUAAUAUCGAAGAUUGGCCAACCUUUUCAUUAGAAUUGAAGGACUUUAUUCAUUUCAGGGAUAGAUUUGCUAGUUUUAGUAUUAGAUUUAUUCCCGAGAGGAAAAUAUCCGUGCCGAUAAACUUGCAAAAUGUGCAAGAGCACGAGGUUUCUGUUUUUCCCAUGUAAGCUCGUCGGUUCCGUCGUGGCUCUCUCCCAAAGAAAGCCAUCUUCCGAUAACUUAAUAUAUGGGGUUUGUUCGUCAAAAAGAAAAGAAAAAAAGAGGACGAUGUGCUUGACGAUUGAAGAAGUUUUGGUAGAGCUAUUGUUUUCAAUUAUAUUGAGGUUGUUUCAUUCUCUGUUUUAGAUGCAUGCCUAUUUACACAAAUACACCUAAUUUAGAAUUUGUAAGGUUUCCUAUUUUAUUUUUUUGCUGCUAAGUAGAAUUCUUCCCUUUUUGUUUUAAGCUAGAAGGAGUUUUUGUAAAUUUUGAAAAUUUUAUUUGAAUGAUUUAGCAUA